rnacentral:rRNA from 1 species
GAUGAACGCUGGCGGCGUGCUUAACACAUGCAAGUCGAACGAGAAGUGGAGACGGAAACCUUCGGGCGGAAGACUUUAUUUCGAGUGGCGGACGGGUGAGUAACGCGUGGGUAACCUGCCUCAUACAGGGGGAUAACAGUUGGAAACGACUGUUAAUACCGCAUAAGACCACAGCACCGCAUGAUGCGGGGGUAAAAACUCCGGUGGUAUGAGAUGGACCCGCGUUCGAUUAGCCAGUUGGCGGGGUAACGGCCCACCAAAGCGACGAUCGAUAGCCGAUCUGAGAGGAUGACCGGCCACAUUGGGACUGAGACACGGCCCAAACUCCUACGGGAGGCAGCAGUGGGGAAUAUUGCACAAUGGGGGAAACCCUGAUGCAGCGACGCCGCGUGAGUGAAGAAGUAUUUCGGUAUGUAAAGCUCUAUCAGCAGGGAAGAAAAUGACGGUACCUGAGUAAGAAGCCCCGGCUAACUACGUG